rnacentral:rRNA from 1 species
GACGGAGGAUGCAAGUGUUAUCCGGAAUCACUGGGCGUAAAGCGUCUGUAGGUGGUUCAAUAAGUCAACUGUUAAAUCUUGAGGCUCAACUUUCAAAAUCGCAGUCGAAACUAUUGGACUCGAGUAUAGUAGGGGUAAAGGGAAUUUCCAGUGGAGCGGUGAAAUGCGUAGAGAUUGGAAAGAACACCAAUGGCGAAAGCACUUUACUGGGCUAUUACUGACACUGAGAGACGAAAGCUAGGGUAGCAAAUGGG